rnacentral:tRNA from 1 species
AAGGGUAUAGCUCAGUGGUAGAGUGCAUGCCUGACAUGCACAAGGUCCUGGGUUCAGUCCCCAAUAACUCUA